rnacentral:pre_miRNA from 1 species
UUCAAGUGCAAGCAUCAUUUUCUAUGUCUAACUUUAAUCGUUCAUCUUAUUUAAAAUAAUUUAAAAAAAUUAAAAACAUAAGUCACACAUAAAGUAUUAUUCAUGUUUUAUCAUCUAAUAACAACAAAAAUACUAAUCAUAAAAAAAAUAAGACGGGCGAUUAAAAUUGGACAUGAAAACUCAUUGUUGCACUUAAA